AUUGAACGCUGGCGGCAGGCCUAACACAUGCAAGUCGAGCGGAUGACGGGAGCUUGCUCCUUGAUUCAGCGGCGGACGGGUGAGUAAUGCCUAGGAAUCUGCCUGGUAGUGGGGGACAACGUUUCGAAAGGAACGCUAAUACCGCAUACGUCCUACGGGAGAAAGCAGGGGACCUUCGGGCCUUGCGCUAUCAGAUGAGCCUCGGUCGGAUUAGCUAGUUGGUGAGGUAAUGGCUCACCAAGGCGACGAUCCGUAACUGGUCUGAGAGGAUGAUCAGUCACACUGGAACUGAGACACGGUCCAGACUCCUACGGGAGGCAGCAGUGGGGAAUAUUGGACAAUGGGCGAAAGCCUGAUCCAGCCAUGCCGCGUGUGUGAAGAAGGUCUUCGGAUUGUAAAGCACUUUAAGUUGGGAGGAAGGGCAGUAAGUUAAUACCUUGCUGUUUUGCCGUUACCGACAGAAUAAGCACCGGCUAACUCUGUGCCAGCAGCCGCAGUAAGAC
rnacentral:rRNA from 1 species